rnacentral:pre_miRNA from 14 species
UUUCAUAGGCAAAAGGAUGGAACUAAUGAAAGAGCCCCGGAGUGGGGAGACCCUCACUCAAGUCUCGGGAUGAUGCAAUCCCCCAAGAACUCACGUGAGACC